rnacentral:rRNA from 1 species
GACGAACGCUGGCGGCGUGCUUAACACAUGCAAGUCGAACGGAGUGGCGAACGGGGGAGUAACACGUGGGUGAACUGCCUUGCACUUCGGGAUAAGCUUGGGAAACUGGGUCUAAUACCGGAUAGUGCAAGAUGAGCUCGCGGCCUAUCUGCUUGUUGGUGGGGUAAUGGCCUACCAAGGCGGCGACGGGUAGCCGGCCUGGGAGGGUGUACGGCCACAAUGGGACUGCGAGACGGCCCAGACUCCUACGGGAGGCAGCAGUGGGGAAUAUUGCACAAUGGGCGGAAGCCUGAGGCAGCGACGUCGCGUGGGGGAUGAAGGCCUUCGGGUUGUAAACUCCUUUCGGCAGGGACGCGGUACCUGUAUAAGAAGCACCGGCUAACUCCGUGCCAGCAGCCGCGGUAAUAC